UGAAUAACUUGGUGUAGUUAGAAGGUGAAUGCUUGUCCCUUGCACUGUGGGCAGGCACCCCUGCAAGGGUCUAUAAAUGCCUCCAAAUGUGGGGACCUCAGCUACACAAUUUAUGGUGAUGUAGGGAUUGCUUUCGGGCUGUCCCUCU
rnacentral:snRNA from 1 species